rnacentral:rRNA from 1 species
CCUACGGGUGGCAGCAGUGAGGAAUAUUGGUCAAUGGGCGUAAGCCUGAACCAGCCAAGUCGCGUGAGGGAUGAAGGUUCUAUGGAUCGUAAACCUCUUUUAUAAGGGAAUAAAGUGCGGGACGUGUCCCGUUUUGUAUGUACCUUAUGAAUAAGGAUCGGCUAACUCCGUGCCAGCAGCCGCGGUAAUACGGAGGAUCCGAGCGUUAUCCGGAUUUAUUGGGUUUAAAGGGAGCGUAGGUGGAUUGUUAAGUCAGUUGUGAAAGUUUGCGGCUCAACCGUAAAAUUGCAGUUGAAACUGGCAGUCUUGAGUACAGUAGAGGUGGGCGGAAUUCGUGGUGUAGCGGUGAAAUGCUUAGAUAUCACGAAGAACUCCGAUUGCGAAGGCAGCUCACUGGACUGCAACUGACACUGAGGCUCGAAAGUGUGGGUAUCAAACAGGAUUAGAUACCCGAGUAGUC